GUCUAGUUGUGCAUUAGACUGAAAAAAAUAAAUCUGAUCAUAAUGUCAAAGGGACUUUGUGCAUGGACCACUUCAAUGGCCUCUAAAGGCUUCCUAAAUUGUCUUUUUCUUAGGAGCAGGACUGGGCCAGUGUUCAUCUGCCACACUGGCGUCCUCAAAUCUGGAUCUGGAUCAUCUUGGUGGUCUGGAUCCUGUGGGUGCUUCUUACUGGAAGGUCACUGCAGUGCUGCUGGAAGUGUUGUCUACAAUAUGGCCGCCCUCCUUCAUGUCUGCAACUUCCACAUCGUUGGGCUCAUGGAGUGAUUUUCAAUAAAUAACUUUGAAACCGGUUUAUGCUUGUCUAUCGAACUCAUUGUGGAUAAGGAGGACUGAUGCUAUUGCUUCUCAUGUUAAGCAGUAUUUUGGUCCUCAUCCUUCAGUACCUUUGUUACUAUUUCACUAAGAAAUUGCAUGUUUUUAUUAAACAUUUUGCAUCGUAUAAGGAGUGCGGACGUAGUUGAAAUGCAACAAAAUCGCAGGGUCAAAUAGUUUUUCAGUACAGAGGAAGACAAGUUUUUGGAAAGUGAGGUCAAGGAUCCUCAAAUAUUAGUGUUAUAUCAUCUGCCAGGUUGGGUGACUGCUGUGAGGUCCAUUUAACUUGAGUACAAAGGUAAUGGUUAA
rnacentral:lncRNA from 1 species